CUACGGGCCGCAGCAGUGGGGAAUCUUAGACAAUGGGCGCAAGCCUGAUCUAGCCAUGCCGCGUGAGUGAUGAAGGCCUUAGGGUCGUAAAGCUCUUUCGCUGGGGAAGAUAAUGACGGUACCCAGUAAAGAAACCCCGGCUAACUCCGUGCCAGCAGCCGCGGUAAUACGGAGGGGGUUAGCGUUGUUCGGAAUUACUGGGCGUAAAGCGCGCGUAGGCGGACUGUUAAGUCGGGGGUGAAAUCCCGGGGCUCAACCCCGGAACGGCCUUCGAUACUGGCAGUCUGGAGUUCGAGAGAGGUGAGUGGAAUUCCGGGUGUAGAGGUGAAAUUCGUAGAUAUUCGGAGGAACACCAGUGGCGAAGGCGGCUCACUGGCUCGAUACUGACGCUGAGGUGCGAAAGUGUGGGGAGCAAACAGGAUUAGAUACCCUAGUAGUC
rnacentral:rRNA from 1 species